UCGUCUUUUCUUCAGGUGACAUCCAGAAGGCAACUAAAAAUGUGAAUCUGAAGCUCUGGAAACAGCAUCAGAUUGGAACUACAGAUUUGAGAGCCUUGAGAAUUUAUUACAUCACUCAUGAAGAACACGGUGAGAGAACAGAGAACAUUUAGGAGGGAACUGUAAGGAACAAAAACAUUUGCUGGGUGGGCAGAAGAGAGAGCCUGGGAGGAAAUAUCAGGGGCUGUGAACAAGAACCAGGGAGAAGAAACGUUCAGGGAGGAAACAGCAGUCACAAGUGACAGAGAUUGGUGGUAAAUUACAUCACCUAUGUCAGAAAGGGUCCCUUAGACCUGCCAAUUAGGAGGCUUGGGUAUCGUAGCCUUAGCUAGAAUAGUUUCAGUGGAUUGGUGGGCUAUGGACUGAAGACAGAAGGUUAAGAAGCAAAUGUAGCAAUUGUAGAACAUGGUUUCAAGAAGUGCAGCCAUGAAAACAACAGACAGAUUUCAUUUAGAAAGGCAAGGUCAAAGGAGUUUUUUUACUUUUUUUUUUUUUUUUUUUUUAGAAGAAAGGCAGCUUGGAAUCUGUAUAAAUGAAAGAGAGAGAUAGAAUGGGUAAAAAUGAUUGAUGGAAGAAUUUUGACCUACUGGGUUUGAGGUAGGAGGGGAAAACAGAAGGGUGCUCUUCUCUGAAGGUGUAAAGAUAAAUUUAGAGCGGACAGAGCAGCAAAGAGUUGAAAAGUUUUUGUCUGUUGGCCUUCAAUUUAUCCAUGAAGGAAGGAGCAACGUUAUCUGCUACAAGGACGGAGGUGGCGGGGAAAGUCUGGACUGGUUUUUAGGAGACAAGGGGUGGGGGGUGAGGGAAAGACUAUAGAUAAGAGGACAAACAGAAGGUCUGCUUUCGCAGAUCUACUAUGGUCGAAAAUUAUUUUUUCUUUCCUCCCCUCUAUCCCUUCCUAACCUAAGCUUGUCGCAAAAAAGGCUUCAAGCUGCCAAAUCCAAAUUUUUCCACCAAUAUACCCCGAUACUAGUUUUUUCUCCAAAAACAACGGGCAACUAACACGCAGGGCAGAGAAAACAAACAGUUGCCCCAGGCUUCCUUCGUUCGAAUAGUGAAGACUGAGCUGGCCUCGGCACUGUGCAGACUCCCAACCUGUGCUACUGUGGGUUAUUCUCCUUAUAGUGCAGUCACCUCCUAAAUGCUUGCUGAAAAUAAUGGAAGACUUCGAGCCAGAUGUUUGCCUCUUAAGUAACGUCCCCCAAAAGAUGCAGCACAUAUUUAAGGCCUGCUGAAGCAAGCAACGCUGACGGACCAGGUUAUUGCGUUUUUCUCUCGCUGCGUGUCCGGACGCCACACUAUGAGCAUUAAGCGCAUACUGACCAAUUUCUGUUAAGCAGGAACGUGGUGUUCUGAUCAAAACACAGGGAGCCGCGGCCGCAACCGCGCCGAUAAGCUUCCGGGGUCCCAACCCUGUAAGGCAGAACGGCUGCCCAGCUCGGAUGACGCCACACUAACGUAGCCUCCAGACCGCCCAGUGUGGGUGUGUCCAAGCUCACGUCGCCCGGCGUGGCCCCCCCGCUCCCCAAUGACGUAACUGCCCUGCAGCUUCUAGUAGCUUUUCGCAGCGUCUCCGACCGCCGGGCGCGGUGGCGCGUGCCUGUAGUCCCAGCUACUCGGGAGGCUGAGGUGGGAGGAUCGCUUGAGCCCAGGAGUUCUGGGCUGUAGUGCGCUAUGCCGAUCGGGUGUCCGCACUAAGUUCGGCAUCAAUAUGGUGACCUCCCGGGAGCGGGGGACCACCAGGUUGCCUAAGGAGGGGUGAACCGGCCCAGGUCGGAAACGGAGCAGGUCAAAACUCCCGUGCUGAUCAGUAGUGGGAUCGCGCCUGUGAAUAGCCACUGCACUCCAGCCUGAGCAACAUAGCGAGACCCCGUCUCUUUUGCCCCCCUCCCUCAUUAAGGGUACCUUUCGCGAAAGCUCACCAGUUGACGGGAUGCUUGGGGAUUUGCAACCGCCUCAUCGCUGCCCCCUACCGGCGCAUAUUCAAAACGUCUCUGCGAAAAGCUGUUAUUACCUUCGGAGCCAACAGGGGCUGCUCGUUUACCCACAGACAGUCGGAAAAAAAUGGCCGCCGGAUCACAGAGAGCAAAAAGUACGUUCUCUUAAAGAAUUUCCAAGUUCUUCCCGCGGCCGUUCAGGAUGCUGCUUGCAGUUACCAACAUUAUUCCCCUGCACUGAGCUGACCUGAGCUUCCCUGCCUACCUCCUGUCACGGAUGUCACCUUCUUUCACCCCUGUCCUGUCAAGGUUUUUGCUUUAGAAUGCUAUAGACCAAAGACGGGCUAAUCAACAGUCUUACACACAAAUCCUUUCGUUCUACUUGGCUACAGGCAGGGCUAAUCUUCCGAAGAGGAAUCCCACUACUGCCUCCUUAUAAGGGAAAAACUCCUCUCAGAGGAACCCAGAACGCCCUGUGAUGACAGAGGUGAGGGGCCAGCGUGGCAGAAUGCACCACCCUGUCUCCUCGCUUGCUUCUCUCUCCGUCGGAUUGCCAAAAAGGGAACGGCACCUAGACGCCGAAAAGUAACUGAAGCAAAGGGAGUUUAAAGAACGCGCCCAGCCGCCUGGGUCUUGAACCCAGUGUUAAUGAGAGCAAAAACCUCUGCAUCCUCCACUGAGCUGUCCUUGAGCAUGUCUCAUAAUCAUGCUUCAUUUUAAAAACAGAAAUAAGUGAGUAAGCUAUGAAAGAAGACAACCUUUAAAUUUUUCAAAAGUUCUUGGUGGUCUGUGAUUAGAAAUUUCAUCUAUAUGAAAUAACUGUUUUGGAGGGCUUACUGUUAAAUUCAGGCAUUUUAGGGCCAGUGGAAACUGGUUAAGCAUUCACAUCAGUCUUAACAUUAAUCUGAUAAUCUACUGGGAGUUUAAAGACUCUAAGCACUAAACACAGAUUUUCCUCACUGUCUAUAAAAUGAAAGAGGAAAGAAGCAUUGUACUAAAUUUUUUAUAAAGCUAAUUGUAUUCCCUUUUUUUUUUUUGAGGUAGUUCAUUGCAUUUUGAACAAGGAUAACUGUCAGAAAAGAUCCUCUUUGAAUAAAACAGGUAUCUCCCCCAUGGCUGCUUCUGGGUCUGCCCUCUGCAACCACAUGGAAUAGGUCUGAUUCCGGUUCUUCAGGACAACUUUUCAAGAAUUAAAAAAUCACCUCCAAAUGAAUGCAUUUUUACAAAAUGAAAAUAGGUAGAGAUGCUAUUUUAAAAAAAAAAAAACUUUACCUUCUCACCAACCUUAAAAUAAGAAGCAAAAUAAUUUUGGUAUAUCUUUUUUUUUUUUUUUUUGAGACAGAGUCUUGCUCUGUCUCCCAGGCUGGAGUUCCGGGGAGCGAUCUCUGCUCACUGCAACCUCUGCCUCCCGGGUUCAAGCGCUUCACCUGCCUCAAGCCUCCCGAGUAGCUGGGAUUACAGGCACACACCAGCAUGCCCGGCUAAUUUUUGUAUCUCUUGUUUUUCACUAAAUGGAUCCCUGAAUUGGACCCAGAAUGACUUAGCUAUGGAUGUAAGAACUGCUUUUGAGUAGCUGCCUCCAUUAGCCCUGGGGUUCCUACUUCCUGAGUACCAUGACCUCUGGGAUAACUCAGCUUUGUGGAACUGAGGUGCAAUAGGCAGCAUAAUGACCCCCUCCCCAAAGAUAUCUAUGUGCUAACUAACCAAGGAAUGUGGACAGCCCCCUGAAGCUGGAAAAGGCAAGGAAAGGGAUUCUCUUCAAGAGUUUCCAGAAGGAAUGCAGCCCUCUUCACCAAUUUGGUACUUCUGAUCUCCAGAACUCUUAAAUAAUAAAUUUGGCCGCAUGUAGUGGCUCACACCUGUAAUUCCCAGCACUUUGAGAGGCCAAGGAAGGUGGAUUGCUUGAGCUCAGGAUUUGGAGACCAGCCUGCACAAAAUGGUGAAACCCUGUCUCUACAAAAAA
rnacentral:lncRNA from 1 species